rnacentral:rRNA from 1 species
GUAAGCGACGCUGGCGGCGUGCCUACACAUGCAGUCGAGCGAUGACUCCUUCGGGAGUGAUUGCGGCGGACGGGUGAGUAACACGUGGGUAACCUGCCUCAUACAGGGGAAUAGCCUUCCCAAAGGGAGAUUAAUACCGCAUAACAUAUCUUUACCGCAUGGUAGAGUUAUCAAAGGAGCAAUCCGCUAUGAGAUGGACCCGCGGCGCAUUAGCUAGUUGGUGAGGUAACGGCUCACCAAGGCGACGAUGCGUAGCCGACCUGAAAGGGUGAUCGGCCACAUUGGAACUGAAACACGGUCCAGACUCCUACGGGAGGCAGCAGUGGGGAAUAUUGCGCAAUGGGGGAAACCCUGACGCAGCAACGCCGCGUGAGUGAAGAAGGCCUUAGGGUUGUAAAGCUCUGUCAUAUGGGAAGAUAAUGACGGUACCAUAAAAGGAAGCCACGGCUAACUACGUGCCCGCCGCCGCGGUAAAA